GACGAACGCUGGCGGCGUGCUUAACACAUGCAAGUCGAACGGUAAGGCCCUUCGGGGUACACGAGUGGCGAACGGGUGAGUAACACGUGGGUGAUCUGCCCUGCACUUCGGGAUAAGCCUGGGAAACUGGGUCUAAUACCGGAUAGGACCCUGGGAUGCAUGUCCUGGGGUGGAAAGCUUUUGCGGUGUGGGAUGGGCGAGCGGCAGCCCAUCAGCUUGUUGGUGGGGUGAUGGCCGACCAAGGCGACGACGGGGAGCCGGCCUGAGAGGGUGUCCGGCCACACUGGGAAUGAGAUACGGGCCAGACUCCUGCGGGAGGCAGCAGUGGGGAAUAUUGCACAAUGGGCGCAAGCCUGAUGCAGCGACGCCGCGUGAGGGAUGACGGCCUUCGGGUUGUAAACCUCUUUCAGCACCGACGAAGCGCAAGUGACGGUAGGUGCAGAAGAAGGACCGGCCGACUACGUGCCAGCCGCCGCUGUAACGA
rnacentral:rRNA from 1 species